rnacentral:rRNA from 1 species
UGAGGUGGGAUCCUGGGCGGGCCACGAAACCCCCCGGGCGCACCACCAGCCCGUCUCGCCCGCACCGUCGGGGAGGUGGAGCGUGAGCGCGUGCGAUAGGACCCGAAAGAUGGUGAACUAUGCCUGGGCAGGGU